GAAUUCACUAGUGAUUCAGGCCUAAACAUGCAACUCCAGCGGUAGAGAGAAGCUUGCUUCUCUUGAGAGCGGCGGACGGGUGAGUAAUGCCUAGGAAUCUGCCUGGUAGUGGGGGAUAACGUUCGGAAACGGACGCUAAUACCGCAUACGUCCUACGGGAGAAAGCAGGGGACCUUCGGGCCUUGCGCUAUCAGAUGAGCCUAGGUCGGAUUAGCUAGUUGGUGAGGUAAUGGC
rnacentral:rRNA from 1 species